rnacentral:rRNA from 1 species
AACGUAAGGUGGCAAGCGUUAUCCGGAAUUACUGGGCGUAAAGGGUGGUGCAGGCGGGGAAGCAAGUGGUGUAUGAAAUCUCCCAGCUUAACUGGGAUAGGUUAUGCCAGACUGCUUUUCUAGAGGACGAGAGAGGGGGGUGGAAUUCCGGGUGUAGUGGUGAAAUGCGUAGAGAUCCGGAGGAACCCCAGAGGCGAAGGCGGCCCCCUGGCUCGUACCUGACGCUCAGCCACGAAAGCAUGGGGAGCGAACGGG